rnacentral:rRNA from 1 species
UACAGAGGUCUCGAGCGUUAGGCGGAAUCACUGGGCUUAAAGCGUGUGUAGGCGGAUCGGUAAGUACCUUGUGAAAUCCCACAGCUUAACUGUGGAACUGCUUGGUAUACUGCCAGUCUUGAGCCAGCUAGGGGCUACCGGAACAAAUGGUGGAGCGGUGAAAUGCGUAGAUAUCAUUUGGAACGCCAAUGGUGAAAACAGGUAGCUGGGGCUGUGCAGACGCUGAGACACGAAAGCCAGGGGAGCGAACGGG